rnacentral:lncRNA from 1 species
CAACUUCUUCAAUUCUCUUAGUCAAAGUGAUGGGGUAGGUAAGGAGGGGACUGUACCAGAAUCCUUAUUGAAAAAAGCUCGUAAAACCGGUUCACUGAACCUGUCAAACAGGGGCAUUAGUGUUAUUCCUCCUAAACUGUGGAGACUCAAUAUUGAUCCUCCUGAUGGUAGUACUGCUUCAUUUGAUGUUGAUGAGAGAUGGUGGGACCAGGUGGAACUGACUAGACUGGAUCUAUCAUCUAACGAAAUCAAAGAAAUAUCUGAAGAUAUUGAAAACUUUAAUUGAUUGUCAGCGCUUGAGGUCCAGUACAAUGAGUUAACAUGUCUACCUAAUAAUGUGAUCAAACUGGAUAAACUAUCUAAAAUAUUUGCAAGUCUCUCCUAUAUGUUAGGAAGGUUUGAGUCUCUUCAUUAUCUUCUCUUUGAUGUUCUCCUCUUAAUUAAAUGAAUGAGACCUGACAUCCUCCGGAAAGGAACAGUAUUGGUCCUCUAGUAUCUCUUGUAUUGAAGAACCAGGAGACCACAUGUGACGGCCAACCUCUCCCUCGUCCCUCAAGAUCCCCUCGUGACCAUACAAGUUAUGGUAUACUGUUACUGUUCUUAUGGGGUACCCAAUGUAUGCUCCUUUUCAUCAAAGAGGGUAAGUCAUGUUACUUCUCAUGAUGUCAUUCCAUUCUUUCUCUCUUGAUCCU